rnacentral:rRNA from 1 species
CCUACGGGAGGCUGCAGUGGGGGAUAUUGCACAAUGGGGGGAACCCUGAUGCAGCGACGCCGCGUGGGUGAAGAAGCGCCUCGGCGCGUAAAGCCCUGUCAGCAGGGAAGAAAAUGACGGUACCUUAAGAAGAAGCCCCGGCUAACUACGUGCCAGCAGCCGCGGUAAUACGUAGGGGGCAAGCGUUAUCCUGAUUUACUGGGUGUAAGGGGGGCGCAGACGGCGAUGCAAGCCAGGAGUGAAAGCCCGGGGCCCAACCCCGGGACUGCUCUUGGAACUGCGUGGCUGGAGUGCAGGAGGGGCAGGCGGAAUUCCUGGUGUAGCGGUGAAAUGCGUAGAUAGCAGGAGGAACACCGGUGGCGAAGGCGGCCUGCUGGACUGCAACUGACGUUGAGGCCCGAAAGCGUGGGGAGCAAACAGGAUUAGAUACCCGAGUAGUC